AUUUGUGGUUUACCAAGUGUUCCUAGCACUUGUUGUUGGUGAAGUGCUUGGUAUCCAUCCUUGGGUGGAAUCUGUGUGGCAUUAGGUUGUCGUGCAGGGGACGCCCAUCUUUUACUGUGAAAAAAUUAGAGUGUUCAAAGCAGGCUUAUGCCGUUGAAUAUAUUAGCAUGGAAUAAUGAGAUAGGACCUUGGUACUAUUUUGUUGGUUUGCGCACCGAGGUAAUGAUUAAUAGGGACAGUUGGGGGUAUUCGUAUUCCAUUGUCAGAGGUGAAAUUCUUGGAUUUCUGGAAGACGAACUACUGCGAAAGCAUUUACCAAGGAUGUUUUC
rnacentral:rRNA from 1 species